UCUGGGCACACCAUCCUUCCCGGCCAAGUCGUGUGGAAAGACAUCCAAGACACCCUUGGCCUUGGAUCACUUUCUGGAAGAAGAUCCAGGAGGGGGCAUCUCUUUUGCAUGGUUUCUCGUGAUACUGAGGGUAUACUGUGGAUCAGCCCUGCAGGGGCAGCAAGCUGAAGAACAAAGCCAGAACCUAUGAAGAAGUUCUGGAGAUUGUGUCGAAAACAGCACAAGUAUUCAACAGAUGUCACAGAUUUUUCACCAUUUCUCUGUAUGUACAAUAAAUGCUCAGUCCUGUACUCUAUGACUUGU